rnacentral:rRNA from 1 species
GGGGAAUUUUACGCAAUGGGCGAAAGCCUGACGUAGCGACACCGCGUGAGCGAAGAAGCCCCUUGGGGUGUAAAGCUCUGUCAGCUGGAACGAAAAAAAUGACGGUACCAGCAGCGGACGCAUCGGCUAACUACGUGCCAGCAGCCGCGGUAAGACGUAGGAUGCAAGCGUUGUCCGGAUUUAUUGGGCGUAAAGAGUUCGUAGGUGGUUUGUUAAGUUUGGUGUUAAAGAUUGGGGCUCAACCCUGAAACUGCACUGAAUACUGGCAGACUCGAGUGUGGUAGAGGCUAGUGGAAUUCCCAGUGUAGCGGUGAAAUGCGUAGAUAUUGGGAAGAACACCGGUGGCGUAGGCGACUAGCUGGGCCAUAACUGACACUGAGGAACGAAAGCCAGGGGAGCGAAUG